GUCAGGAUGGCUGAGUGGUCCAAGACACCAGACUCAAAUUCUGGUUUCUGAAUGGAGGCGUGGGUUCAAAUCCCACUUCUGACA